UACGAAGGGGGCUAGCGUUGCUCGGAAUCACUGGGCGUAAAGGGUGCGUAGGCGGGUCUUUAAGUCAGGGGUGAAAUCCUGGAGCUCAACUCCAGAACUGCCUUUGAUACUGAAGAUCUUGAGUUCGGGAGAGGUGAGUGGAACUGCGAGUGUAGAGGUGAAAUUCGUAGAUAUUGGGAAGAACACCGGUGGCGAAGGCGGCUCACUGGACCGAGACUGACGCUGAGGCGCGAAAGCGUGGGGAGCAAACAGG
rnacentral:rRNA from 1 species